CCGUAGCUCAAUGGAUAGAGCGUCUGCCUCCGAAGCAGAAGGUUGCAAGUUCGAGUCUUGUCGG
rnacentral:tRNA from 1 species